rfam:Schistosoma mattheei strain Denwood, Zambia genome assembly, scaffold: SMTD_scaffold0000390
AUCCAGCUGACCAGUCCCAGACAGGACGAAACGUGAGUCAAAUUGAAU